rnacentral:rRNA from 1 species
UCAGGUGGUUAUAGCACGAGGCUCCACCUCUUCCCAUUCCGAACAGAGAAGUUAAGCCUCGUCACGCCGAUGGUACUGCGUAACAGUGGGAGAGUAGGUAGCCGCUUUUU